rnacentral:rRNA from 1 species
UGCCAGCAGCCGCGGUAAUACGGGGGGGGCGAGCGUUAUUCGGAAUUAUUGGGCGUAAAGGGCGCGUAGGCGGCCUAGUAAGUUAAAGGUGAAAUCCCUCGGCUCAACCGAGGAACUGCCUUUGAUACUGCUAGGCUUGAGGCCGGGAGGGGGUGGCGGAAUUCCCAGUGUAGCGGUGAAAUGCGUAGAUAUUGGGAGAAACACCUGUGGCGAAGGCGGCCACCUGGACCGGUUCUGACGCUGAGGCGCGAAAGUGUGGGGAGCAAACAGGAUUAGAUA